rnacentral:rRNA from 1 species
AUAGCGUAUAUUAAAGUUGUUGCAGUUAAAAAGCUCGUAGUUGAAUUUUGGACCUGGCUGGGUGGUCUUGCCGCAAGGUUAUCACUGCUCUGGUCGGGUCUUUCUUUCUGGGGAACCUGUGUGCUCUUAAUUGAGUGCGCAGGGGGUCCAGGACUUUUACUUUGAAAAAAUUAGAGUGUUUAAAGCAGGCUUUCGCUUGAAUACAUUAGCAUGGAAUAAUAGAAUAAGACUUUGGUUCUAUUUUGUUGGUUUCUAGGACUGAAGUAAUGAUUAAUAGGGACAGUUGGGGGCAUUAGUAUUUAAUUGUCAGAGGUGAAAUUCUUGGAUUUAUGAAAGACUAACUACUG